UUGCAGAAAAUGUCCAAAACCAAUAUUGAGAAUCGGAAAAAGUGGAAGAAUCCACAUACUGUUGGCAAAAAAAGCUUUGCUCUAGUCCGCAAUGAUUUGGAAAAAGAUAGGGAAACUUCCAAUCCUCUAUCACUUAAGGAAAUCUUUGUGGCUACAAGAAAAAGAAAACCGGGUCGAUCAUACAACGAUAUAGAUGAAGAUACAACUAGAAAAAUUGCUGAGAUGGAAAAUAUUGAAAUGUAACAAAGUGAAGAUGGUAAUGAGUCAAUUAAUGCAUUUGCUUCCGUCAUGGGACCUGAACAUUCAGGACGUUUGAGAUUGUAUGGACGAGGGGUUACUAAAACUACUUUAAAAGGGAAAGCUGUACAUUUCGAACACUCUUCAAAUGCAACAAAUGAUCUCGUGCAAAAGAUGGAAGAGAAGAUGAUAAGAUUAAUGGAGGAAAAACUGGAGGAACAAAAAGAAAAAUUUGAGGAACAAAAUACAACGAUGAGACAAGAAAUUGUAAAAGAUUUAAUAACAAAACUUCAAUGUUUAGGAUUACCAAUUGAUGCUAACCUUUUAGCGACAUUGGUUGAAGCUUUCUCAACAUGAGCAACAACUAUUCAGCCAAUUCAUCGUCCUUCUAUUGGUAGCAAAGAUCCAGGUGAAAGAAAUGAACAAGGCGGAGAUGAAAGCAGCGAAGACCUUACUUGAAGAGUAUUGGUUGAUUUACAUCUUCAAACAUUCUAAGACUAUUUUGAAUUUUGGACUUUUUGCAAACUUAAUUAUAUGUAUGCUAACUCUUGAACUGUCAACCAACAACUAGUUGUACAUUUUGGAUUAAGAUUUUGUUGACGAACAACUUUGUUUUGUCGUUUAUAUAAAAGAAAGUGUAUUAUAUUUUAUU